CAAGCAUCCUUCUCGCCACGCUUUGGUCAUUUUAACCAAAAGUAGUUUAAUACGACGAGGAUCCACUUUCUUACAUACUAUAUAUUACGACAUAUUUAGAAUAGCAUUAUAUGAUAUGAGAUACCUAGUUAUAUUGUUACUAUAUUAGACAUUGUUACUAUAUUAGACUCAUCUCUUGUACUAUAUAACAUCAUCAAUAGAAUCCAUGAGGGUAUGUUUUUUGCCCUUCUUUCAUGGUAUCAGAGCAGGAACCCUAAUUUAGAAAUAUCGAUCCAUAGCCACUAUCCACCACAAGUCUCACCUUCUUCCAUAGGUACCUUUUUCUUUUGGUAUUCUAUCUCCCCUUAUCCUUGGAUUUUUAUCUCCCCGGUAUUGCUCAGUACCGGCACUACAGUACUGGUGCUACAGUAUC
rnacentral:lncRNA from 1 species